GACGAACGCUGGCGGCGUGCCUAAUACAUGCAAGUAGAACGCACAGUUUAUACCGUAGCUUGCUACACCAUAAACUGUGAGUUGCGAACGGGUGAGUAACGCGUAGGUAACCUGCCUGGUAGCGGGGGAUAACUAUUGGAAACGAUAGCUAAUACCGCAUAAUAUUGAUUAUUGCAUGAUAAUUGAUUGAAAGAUGCUAUUGCAUCACUACCAGAUGGACCUGCGUUGUAUUAGCUAGUAGGUGAGGUAACGGCUCACCUAGGCGACGAUACAUAGCCGACCUGAGAGGGUGAACGGCCACACUGGGACUGAGACACGGCCCAGACUCCUACGGGAGGCAGCAGUAGGGAAUCUUCGGCAAUGGACGAAAGUCUGACCGAGCAACGCCGCGUGAGUGAAGAAGGUUUUCGGAUCGUAAAGCUCUGUUGUAAGAGAAGAACGGGUGUGAGAGUGGAAAGUUCACACUGUGACGGUAUCUUACCAGAAAGGGACGGCUAACUACGUG
rnacentral:rRNA from 1 species